GACGAACGCUGGCGGCGUGCCUAAUACAUGCAAGUAGAACGCACAGGAUGCACCGUAGUUUACUACACCGUAUUCUGUGAGUUGCGAACGGGUGAGUAACGCGUAGGUAACCUGCCUGGUAGCGGGGGAUAACUAUUGGAAACGAUAGCUAAUACCGCAUAAGAACAUUUACUGCAUGGUAGAUGUUUAAAAGGUGCAAAUGCAUCACUACCAGAUGGACCUGCGUUGUAUUAGCUAGUAGGUGAGGUAACGGCUCACCUAGGCGACGAUACAUAGCCGACCUGAGAGGGUGAUCGGCCACACUGGGACUGAGACACGACCCAGACUCCUACGGGAGGCAGCAGUAGGGAAUCUUCGGCAAUGGGGGGAACCCUGACCGAGCAACGCCGCGUGAGUGAAGAAGGUUUUCGGAUCGUAAAGCUCUGUUGUUAAGGAAGAACGAGUGUGAGAAUGGAAAGUUCAUACUGUGACG
rnacentral:rRNA from 1 species